rnacentral:lncRNA from 1 species
UACAGAGCCAUCUACAGUGUCUCCACAAGGUGAGACACGUGUAGAGCCACCUCCUCCUCCCUCCCCUUCAGUACAACUUGCCAAAUUUGCGGGAAGACCGGUUACCACGGGGAGAAGGAUCCACUCCGAGUUUUUGGAUCAAGAAGGGUUCCGUUUGGGGGAAUGGAUCCGAAGGCAAGGAUGGGAGUAUCUUUGCUCCCUAGAUGUGGUGAUCUACCCG